rnacentral:rRNA from 1 species
UGGGGAAUAUUGGACAAUGGGCGAAAGCCUGAUCCAGCCAUGCCGCGUGUGUGAAGAAGGCCCUCGGGUUGUAAAGCACUUUCAGUGGGGAAGAAAGCCUCGGGAUUAAUACUUCCGAGGAAGGACAUCACCCACAGAAGAAGCACCGGCUAACUCCGUGCCAGCAGCCGCGGUAAUACGGAGGGUGCGAGCGUUAAUCGGAAUUACUGGGCGUAAAGCGCGCGUAGGCGGUCUGAUCAGCCGGUUGUGAAAGCCCCGGGCUCAACCUGGGAACGGCAUCCGGAACUGUCAGGCUAGAGUGCAGGAGAGGAAGGUAGAAUUCCCGGUGUAGCGGUGAAAUGCGUAGAGAUCGGGAGGAAUACCAGUGGCGAAGGCGGCCUUCUGGACUGACACUGACGCUGAGGUGCGAAAGCGUGGGGUAGCAAACA